UGGUCUUCAUGGACAGGGACAUCACCGGCGAAGCGCUGAAAUGCCCCACUAGUGGAGACCGGGCUGAGCCCACACGGAGAUCAAGCGGCUCAGGACGGGUGGGAGAUGCCUUUUUUGGAUGCCAGCGUCCAGCCCCACCAGUAAUAAGGACACGGCUCCUGUCUCCCCAUCUCUCUCCUCAGGGUGUUGGGUCCCACCAGCCCUCAUGCAGGUAAGGACCUUCAGUGACCUCUGAGACCACAACGGGCACCCGGGGCUGCUCCUGCCAGGCUGGUUUCAGGGUGGAGGGACAAGGAGAAGUGGCCGGGGACGGCUUCACAGGUGGAGAAGCAUCCAGGGAGCCAGCGGGACACUUUUGGCUGGUCUUGGACCUGGUGAGCUUCCACAGAGGACAAGGAGGACGAGGCGGGUGAGGUCUGCAGCGUACCAGAUCCUGCACAGUCGUGGAACAAGUCAUGACCCCCCUUCUUUGGGCUCGGGCACUACGGGGUGCCCCAUUAGCUGCCCUCACCCUCAGUCUCUCCGAACUCAGGGUUACUAGGACACUGGCCUGGUGACCUGUGAGCAUCCCUGGAUGAUGCUACACCUUUACGAGCAUUUAAUUAAUUACACCUCCCACUAGCACUACCUGCCUUGCUUCACUUCUCUAGCUCAAAACCUCACCUGAGGAUGAGAAGGGCUGUGGCCGUCUGUCCGGGACCACCAGGCACCCACGGCCACCCGAGUCUGCACCAUCCUGCUGACUGCGGGGCUUUCACAACAACCUCAGCCAAACAGCGUUAUAUUCUGCUGAGGAAAAGUCUGCGUUUUCUGCCUAGCUCUCUAUUAAAGCAGUCUGGAAAUGAGGACUGAAUGGUCCCGGCGUGGCACGAGCAUGAUGCAGAAAGUAAGUCCCUUUGCCAGAGCAUCCCUCGGCUCUCCUACCUGGGGAUGACGGAGGCGGGGAGGUCUCCAGGAGGGAUAUAGAUGCAGAUGUUUAAUAACACCGGGACACGGGCAGGGUCGUUAGCGUUCACGGCUAUCAGUGCUGUUUAACCACGCACACAUUUAUUUUCCUUGGCUCUGACAGAGAAAUGUGCUCCUCGAGGACUUUUCAUUAAGCAAAAAAUUUAUGAGAGAGGAUGAAAAUUGUGUUUUACUGUCUGAGGUCUCGGUCAGUGCUGUUUCUUCAGACGUUUUAGUAAUUCAUCUUGGCAAGGACUGAGAAAAUUUCUCCAGUGAAACAAAAAAUUUAACUUCCACAUUUGGAGUUGGUUGCAUCAGCCGGUUCCGUCCCCAGCAUGGACCGAUGCCCGGAGUAAUGACCUGAUCCCCUGGGGAUUCAAAACAAAAGCGAAACACCUCACAAUUUAUGUCCAGUGAAAAAUAACGUGUACAUGAUGUAAAGUGUUAUUGGGAUUUGAUGCUAAUUUUAGUGGUCACCUUGGCUGCAUUUGAGGAAGUUGCCGGUGCUGCCAAGAGCAAAUUUACCUGAUGAUGAAUGAGGAAUCAGAGCAUAAAAUAAAUAAAUAUCAGCAA